CUAUGCGCCUUGCCAGCCCGCUCAGGUGUGCCAGCCGCCGCGGUAAUACGGAGGGUGCAAGCGUUAAUCGGAAUUACUGGGCGUAAAGCGCACGCAGACGGUUUGUUAAGUCAGAUGUGAAAUCCCCGGGCUCAACCUGGGAACUGCAUCUGAUACUGGCAAGCUUGAGUCUCGUAGAGGGGGGUAGAAUUCCAGGUGUAGCGGUGAAAUGCGUAGAGAUCUGGAGGAAUACCGGUGGCGAAGGCGGCCCCCUGGACGAAGACUGACGCUCAGGUGCGAAAGCGUGGGAGCAAACAGG
rnacentral:rRNA from 1 species